CCCUUAGAUGUCCGGGGCUGCACGCGCGCUACAAUGGUCGGAGCAGAAUGAAAAGAGACGGCUCCGCGAGGCGGGAGCGUCCUUCGGGGCCUCCCGUUCUUAAUGGUUGACCGUUCCCCGGGUCGACGGGCCCGGGAGAUCGGCUGGAAUCUCGAUCGUGAUCGGGACAGAGUCUUGUAAUUGUUACUCUCAAACGAGGAAUUCCUAGUAGGCGCGAGUCAUGACCUCGCGUCGACUGCGUCCCUGCCCUUUGUACACACCGCCCGUCGCUACUACCGAUCGAGCGCCCUAGCGAGUCGUCCGAUUGUCGCCGAGGCCGGCUUUCGCGAGCUGCGCAUCCGACGAAAAGGCGAUCGAACUCGAGCGCUUAGAGGAAGUAAAAGUCGUAACA
rnacentral:rRNA from 1 species